UACGUAGGGUGCGAGCGUUAAUCGGAAUUACUGGGCGUAAAGCGUGCGCAGGCGGUUCGUCGUGUCCGAUGUGAAAGCCCCGGGCUCAACCUGGGAAUGGCAUUGGAAACUGGCGGGCUUGAGUGUGGCAGAGGGGGUGGAAUUCCGCGUGUAGCAGUGAAAUGCGUAGAGAUGCGGAGGAACACCGAUGGCGAAGGCAGCCCCCUGGGCUAACACUGACGCUCAGGCACGAAAGCGUGGGGAGCAAACAGG
rnacentral:rRNA from 1 species